GGGUUGUGAGGUUAAGCGACUAAGCGUACACGGUGGAUGCCCUGGCAGUCAGAGGCGAUGAAGGACGUGCUAAUCUGCGAUAAGCGUCGGUAAGGUGAUAUGAACCGUUAUAACCGGCGAUUUCCGAAUGGGGAAACCCAGUGUGUUUCGACACACUAUCAUUAACUGAAUCCAUAGGUUAAUGAGGCGUACCGGGGGAACUGAAACAUCUAAGUACCCCGAGGAAAAGAAAUCAACCGAGAUUCCCCCAGUAGCGGCGAGCGAACGGGGAGGAGCCCAGAGUCUGAAUCAGUGUGUGUGUUAGUGGAAGCGUCUGGAAAGGCGCGCGAUACAGGGUGACAGCCCCGUACACAAAAAUGCACAUACUGUGAGCUCGAUGAGUAGGGCGGGACACGUGGUAUCCUGUCUGAAUAUGGGGGGACCAUCCUCCAAGGCUAAAUACUCCUGACUGACCGAUAGUGAACCAGUACCGUGAGGGAAAGGCGAAAAGAACCCCGGCGAGGGGAGUGAAAAAGAACCUGAAACCGUGUACGUACAAGCAGUGGGAGCACGCUUAGGCGUGUGACUGCGUACCUUUUGUAUAAUGGGUCAGCGACUUAUAUUCUGUAGCAAGGUUAACCGAAUAGGGGAGCCGAAGGGAAACCGAGUCUUAACUGGGCGUUAAGUUGCAGGGUAUAGACCCGAAACCCGGUGAUCUAGCCAUGGGCAGGUUGAAGGUUGGGUAACACUAACUGGAGGACCGAACCGACUAAUGUUGAAAAAUUAGCGGAUGACUUGUGGCUGGGGGUGAAAGGCCAAUCAAACCGGGAGAUAGCUGGUUCUCCCCGAAAGCUAUUUAGGUAGCGCCUCGUGAAUUCAUCUCCGGGGGUAGAGCACUGUUUCGGCAAGGGGGUCAUCCCGACUUACCAACCCGAUGCAAACUGCGAAUACCGGAGAAUGUUAUCACGGGAGACACACGGCGGGUGCUAACGUCCGUCGUGAAGAGGGAAACAACCCAGACCGCCAGCUAAGGUCCCAAAGUCAUGGUUAAGUGGGAAACGAUGUGGGAAGGCCCAGACAGCCAGGAUGUUGGCUUAGAAGCAGCCAUCAUUUAAAGAAAGCGUAAUAGCUCACUGGUCGAGUCGGCCUGCGCGGAAGAUGUAACGGGGCUAAACCAUGCACCGAAGCUGCGGCAGCGACGCUUAUGCGUUGUUGGGUAGGGGAGCGUUCUGUAAGCCUGUGAAGGUGUGCUGUGAGGCAUGCUGGAGGUAUCAGAAGUGCGAAUGCUGACAUAAGUAACGAUAAAGCGGGUGAAAAGCCCGCUCGCCGGAAGACCAAGGGUUCCUGUCCAACGUUAAUCGGGGCAGGGUGAGUCGACCCCUAAGGCGAGGCCGAAAGGCGUAGUCGAUGGGAAACAGGUUAAUAUUCCUGUACUUGGUGUUACUGCGAAGGGGGGACGGAGAAGGCUAUGUUGGCCGGGCGACGGUUGUCCCGGUUUAAGCGUGUAGGCUGGUUUUCCAGGCAAAUCCGGAAAAUCAAGGCUGAGGCGUGAUGACGAGGCACUACGGUGCUGAAGCAACAAAUGCCCUGCUUCCAGGAAAAGCCUCUAAGCAUCAGGUAACAUCAAAUCGUACCCCAAACCGACACAGGUGGUCAGGUAGAGAAUACCAAGGCGCUUGAGAGAACUCGGGUGAAGGAACUAGGCAAAAUGGUGCCGUAACUUCGGGAGAAGGCACGCUGAUAUGUAGGUGAAGUCCCUUGCGGAUGGAGCUGAAAUCAGUCGAAGAUACCAGCUGGCUGCAACUGUUUAUUAAAAACACAGCACUGUGCAAACACGAAAGUGGACGUAUACGGUGUGACGCCUGCCCGGUGCCGGAAGGUUAAUUGAUGGGGUCAGCGCAAGCGAAGCUCUUGAUCGAAGCCCCGGUAAACGGCGGCCGUAACUAUAACGGUCCUAAGGUAGCGAAAUUCCUUGUCGGGUAAGUUCCGACCUGCACGAAUGGCGUAAUGAUGGCCAGGCUGUCUCCACCCGAGACUCAGUGAAAUUGAACUCGCUGUGAAGAUGCAGUGUACCCGCGGCAAGACGGAAAGACCCCGUGAACCUUUACUAUAGCUUGACACUGAACAUUGAGCCUUGAUGUGUAGGAUAGGUGGGAGGCUUUGAAGUGUGGACGCCAGUCUGCAUGGAGCCGACCUUGAAAUACCACCCUUUAAUGUUUGAUGUUCUAACGUUGACCCGUAAUCCGGGUUGCGGACAGUGUCUGGUGGGUAGUUUGACUGGGGCGGUCUCCUCCUAAAGAGUAACGGAGGAGCACGAAGGUUGGCUAAUCCUGGUCGGACAUCAGGAGGUUAGUGCAAUGGCAUAAGCCAGCUUGACUGCGAGCGUGACGGCGCGAGCAGGUGCGAAAGCAGGUCAUAGUGAUCCGGUGGUUCUGAAUGGAAGGGCCAUCGCUCAACGGAUAAAAGGUACUCCGGGGAUAACAGGCUGAUACCGCCCAAGAGUUCAUAUCGACGGCGGUGUUUGGCACCUCGAUGUCGGCUCAUCACAUCCUGGGGCUGAAGUAGGUCCCAAGGGUAUGGCUGUUCGCCAUUUAAAGUGGUACGCGAGCUGGGUUUAGAACGUCGUGAGACAGUUCGGUCCCUAUCUGCCGUGGGCGCUGGAGAACUGAGGGGGGCUGCUCCUAGUACGAGAGGACCGGAGUGGACGCAUCACUGGUGUUCGGGUUGUCAUGCCAAUGGCACUGCCCGGUAGCUAAAUGCGGAAGAGAUAAGUGCUGAAAGCAUCUAAGCACGAAACUUGCCCCGAGAUGAGUUCUCCCUGACCCUUUAAGGGUCCUGAAGGAACGUUGAAGACGACGACGUUGAUAGGCCGGGUGUGUAAGCGCAGCGAUGCGUUGAGCUAACCGGUACUAAUGAACCGUGAGGCUUAACCUUACAACGCCGAAG
rnacentral:rRNA from 1 species